GCCGCCUGUGAAGUCGGCGCUGGUGCGGCAACUUUCGGUGAAACAAUGAAUGAAAGUACCCAGAACGUGUGUGAAGCUUCGGAUUCUGUGAUCUAAUGGACCCUCGAGGGGAUCCGCUCCUACCCGUGCGUUUACGACACAAGACGAAUGGAUAACCGCGAUCAAGCAAGAAAAAACUGCAUGGGGAGCAGCCACCCGCCGCCAAUGCGGUCUCGCUACAGUCGAAUGCCUGAAACUUCGGAAAAGGAUGCGAGAUCGCUACACCCGCGAGGCAAAGGCUUUCGAGUUGGCGACGCGGAACAGCAGCGGCUUCGUUUCUAGGCGAACGUGGGAAUUCGCGCAGUCAAUGGAAUUCUACAAGAACUGUGGCCGCCAGAGAAAGUGAAUUAUUUCGGUGGUUACAUACCAUUCUGAACCACGUGCAACCUCGAGGAGGUACCAUCAGCAGUACAGGAUGACACCACAGCAGAAGAAAUUUUUACCUCGAUACAGCGAGGCACACCUUCACCAACAGGGAGCAGUAACUGCGAGCACGAACAAUUUUCAACGGGCCACACAAAUCUACAUGACGAGGACGAAGCCGCUGUGCAGGCGACAAAAGAGCCAUCGAAAAAUACAUGAAAAAACGUAAAGCAAAUGACGUAUUUGAGCAACAGUUGUUGUCCCAUAUGCAACACAACAUGGCCGAAAAUGAGGCAUUUGUCUUAUCCAUAGGCAUGACCCUUUACAGAAUGACUAGACAAGCAGCAGCCUGAUGCAAAGUACAGAUAAUGGAGAUUAUCGUUGAAUUUGACGUCUGAUCAUUCACGAACUUGGCAACGAUUUUCGCUCUUGCCUUCAGAAUAAAGCAUAUGGCUGCAGUUCCUCGCACUGCCUAAAAAAACAUGUUUUGCACCGUUUGGUACUGUAUACUUUAAAUAAUUUAUUGUGGAAACGGCCUUUGUUAUUUCAUUCGUAUCAAGGUUCUCAUUAUAUUAAUACAUUUUUUUUACUUUCAACUUUACCUAGAUGUCAAAGUGCACUGUAAAGUUUCAUGCAAUACUAGUGCUCACGAGGCAAAGCGAGGAUAACCGAGAAGUCA